UGGGAGUAACAUACUGAACAGGGCAGACAGAGUCCCUGGCGUCCUGGGGCUUCCAUUCUGACUGGGAAGACAGCAAGAGGGCACUUAGAGUUCGAAGACCACGGCUGCAGGUGUCUCUCUCACUUAGUCACAGCAGCAGGACACCACACAGCUCACCACACAGCAGGACAAUGAGGAGGGUCUUAGAGCACCUGGGAUGACCCCUUCCUUUGGCAGGGUCAGGACUCAGACAAGAGCCGCCCGGCAUCUGGUUAAGUCUCUACAGACUCUCGGUGGAACGUGAUCGGCUCCCCCGUUUCUGCUGUAGCUCGUGUCGCUGCCGUGCGGAAUUCGCAGGAUCAGUGGCCCUGAGGGGCCCUGCAGUCUGGGCCUGUUGGUCUGCUGCCCCUCGGUGUCACCUUACAAUUCCUGCACCUGGAAGGAGAAGGGGAGGCCGCAGAGCAGCUUUGGCAAAGGCCGUGGUCCGAUCAGCCCAGCCUGGGGCGCUGGAGCUCCCCGGAGCCAGCCUCGGGCAGUCGCUGCGGAAAGUGUCCUUCCAACAUUUCCCGGGUUAUUGCUGGCUAGCGAAGUCGGCGUUUGCUCCUAAGUGUUACGACCUCAUUUGGUGUCCUCUCUGUUUCUUCAUUCUGCGGGUGAGGACUGAGGCUCAGGGAAGAUCAGUUAGCUCAAGGUCACUCGUCUCGUAGACCUGACCCUGUUUCCACGAGGGCCCCACGGUGGGUUGCCUCCCCAGCACUCCAGCUGGGCUAGUCAGCUCUGAUGCAUCCUGCCCUGUAUAAACCCCUCUGGUUGCUUCCCACUGUUCUUCUUGUGAACCCCAGGGUCUUGCCUUGGUCCCAGAGGCCCAGCCCCCACUCCCUGCCUUCCUGAACCUCACUAUCCCCUGCCGCCCUAGUCUUGGGCCCCCUCUCUGUUCCUUGUCCUGCCCAGACCUGCCUCCAGGCCUUUGCACGUGCUCUGCCCUUUGCCCGGAAUUCUCUCCUGACAGCCUCUGAUCUGGCUGGACACGUCUCUGUUCAUCUCAGCUGCACAGAGACUGUCCCUGACCUUCCUGUCUUAAUUCCCUGCUUUUUUCAACUCUCCGCUUACUUUCUGUAGAUGGUUCUGUGCUCUUUAUCAACCUUGUUUUUUCCUGUGGUCAUUCAUUGUGUCUCCUUGACUAAAAGAUUCACCCUCUGAGGCCUAGGCGGGUAGGCCCAUUCAUAGGUCAGAGAAGGGAAUUCCUAAGUAUUUGCUCAGAAAAUGGUGAAUCAGUGAUGGAAACCGGUCUGAAUGAAUGAAUAAAAUCUAAGGUAAAUAUAAAUGAUCUUCCCAAGAAGUCAUAUUGUUAUGGAUAAAAGAAAGAAAAGGCAAGAGCUCGUCCCACCUGCAGAAAUGUGAGCUGUUUGGCCAGACUGCCGUCCUUCCCGGGGAACAGGAAAUCAGCGCCCUGGGGGCUUUAGUGGAAAGAGCAUCUGUACACAGUCUCCACUUUUCAUCCGGUCACUGGAGCUGCG